CCUCCUUUAGUGUAGCCCGGCCUAUCAUGCCACCCUCUCACGGUGGCGACUCGGGUUCAAAUCCCGAAGGGAGGG
rnacentral:tRNA from 1 species